CCCCACACCCCCUGAUUCUCAGCUCAGUCUGGGGCAUUUCCUUGCCCUGAUGGAGUCAGGUUUUCAGGAAGCUGAGGACAGCCCGUCAGCAGUGACUGGGUAGCAUCCGCACGCAGGGAUCCAGACACAGGUCCACAGAGUCCAGGAGAUGCAGUGGGACACCGUGAGCCCUGGAGACUUGCUCAGCUGCAAACCCGGUGGCGCUUCGGGACCUGGAAGAGUGUGAAGCACCCCGGGCUCUCCAUGGUGGGACUGCCUCUCUCUGUCUUCCACUAGCAGCUUUCAGCACUGGAUUCAACCUAAGCCCCAAACCCACGAGGAAAGCAUUUCCUAGUAGCCAUUUGUCCUCGGCACGCCGGGAAGGGUUUCUCAGCUCCUCAUCCCUGUUCUCAAGGGACAUCUUCGGACCAUUACAAGGCGCUCUCUGUGGAUCAGCUGCUGCUAAAACGUGGAAACAAAGAGUAAACCCAACACUUGAAGACGCUAAGGAUUUAUGACGUUUCAGAAGAGGAACCAUUUGUAAAAAGCUGGCCAGCCAACUUCUCUGCAACGUGUUAAAUAACAAACUGAGGCUGGAGAGCCGCUUUUUGGUUACUUGGAGCAAAUUAAACGACAAGAAGGACCAUGAAGCAGUUGGGGGGUUGGUUGCGUGUUUGGAAUUUGACUCCAUGGAAUUGCCAUCUUUUUGAAGAUUUCACGCAUUUAGCUGUUCUUCCUCCAGACUCGUUGCUUCUCCUGUUUUUGAUAAAUGUCUCUAGGAGAUGCUCGGGGGAGCUUACCGUCUGCUGGGCUAGGCAACACUUGGAAGCUAUCAGUUUCAAUCCGAUCCAAUCCAACCCAGUCCAGUCCAGCUGGGUCCAGCACGGUGUAUUCUAAAGUAAAGGGACUCAUUGAAAGACAGUAAAAUACCAGGGUCCUUUUGGAAAUCACUUGAUCCUUUGUUAAAAUCAAGUCCAAGCUGAGGAAGCACAGGCGGUUUAUCUGGGCGCAAUGCUGCCCAGCACCGGGGCAGGCAGCAGCGGUGAAGCACCGGGGACACUGCAUUACGGUGGAAGGAAUCCCUUUAUUGGCAGGAAGUACAGCUCUUACACGUGCACAACCACCUGGUUUUGCAGUGGUUCCUGGAGACCCCAAAGUGCUACCCUUAUGCUAUGUUUUUUUUUUUCCUGUUCUUUCUCAAAUGGCCAUUUUCUAUUCAUUAAAUAAGUGGUUUACUGCAACUAAUGUGUUUCUGUGGAGCAUCUUCUGGGAGUGAAGGUCUGUGGGAGAUAAUUCCUUGCUUUCAAGAGCUCGGUCGGGUGGGGAAAAGCCACAUAAAUGGAUAAGUAUGAUACUAUGUGCUGAGUGUUAGGGAUCUGUGCGAGGGAGAGAUAAAGAGACAUCUGGCUAGAAGGCGAAACACUGGGGAGGACGGGUUGGAAAUCAUCGGGUGGGUCAGAGUCUUUCUCACACUAUAUAUUCAUGUGUCAAAUGGCACUUCUCAUUCAAAGUUAUCCCGACUGGGUACAUACCUUGUUUGCAGUAAUGGGAUAGCUUCCCAAACCCCUGUCACUGUGUUCUCUGUAGACUUGGCUUGAAAGGAAUGGCCAGCUAGUCACGUGAAUUACACGUGAAAGGAAUUGCCUUGAUUGUGAGUUUGGUUCUCCAGACCCUUGAGAGGCUGCCUCCUGGGGUUUGUUUGUUGGUAGGGGUCCCAGCCACCCCCCCCCCAUCCAGCCCAGCUCCAGACGAGCACUGCUGAGCGUCACUCGCCAACCUGCCCUCCUGCUGGUUUCUUGCAGUCACUCUCCCCUUUCUCUUCCCAUUCGUUUCCAGGCAUUUGACAGAAGAAACUGCCCCCAGGCACCACUGAGAUCAUGACCCAGGCCGGUACACUUCAGGAAAUUCACGCUGACAGAAACUCCUGCCUUCUGCUAUUACAGAAGGGGCUUGGUGCAGCAAGAUGCCAGCUCAGAGCCACGGGCUGCAAGGAAAGGUUCUUGACCCUCUCUGCAGAGAAGGGAGCGCCUGGGAGGGGGGCUGAAAGCUGUGGCCAGGGUUGAGAUAAACAUGCAGGUUAAGGCAUUUUUCAUCUGUUUAACCAGAUCUCAUUAUAUUGUCAAACAAGACUGCAGUGCUCACAAGAAACAGCUACGGUAUUCUUAUUGAGGGUUGGGGCGAGACGUAAGAAUUUAUUUUCCCCUCUGAAGUUAAUUUCCCUGAUGCUGCGAUGCCAGGCAAAGUUUUCACUGGGAUGAAAGUUGGGGUUGGAGACAGUAAGUUUGUGGAGCUUUUGAGGAAAAGCUUAAUGGCACAUCCUAGGGCCCCACGCUGCCUGGGGCUGAGGAGAAAAGGAGACUUCAGUGGUAAUCUUGCCUGUGUCCUCCACAGGGGACGCCCUUCUCCUGGCCACGGACGGAGCCUUUCCCUAAAUGUAUAUUCCUUUGCUCUGUCGUUCUCCCACCCCCCGCCCCUUAUGUUGAUCCCAAGAGAAGGCCACUUUUGUUCAUUGUUCUUCUCUUUUCCGGGUUGAGCUAACUUUAACAAUUGCCUAGCUCUGACGAUGCUCAGGAGGUGAGUAAAUUACCGCGCUGCCCAGCCCUUUGUCCGAAUCGUGGAGGAGGGUGGCGAUCCUUGUGAAAAUGUGCACUGAUGGUCCUGCACAGUGGCCGUGUCGACAUCGGACACCUGAGUUUUAGAAAAUCCGGAGUAAACGUCUGCAGGGACUUCCAGCAUGAUGCUGAAAGGGAGUGGAGAGAGGAGACGUCUUUGUUUUGUACCACUGCCUUUCCACUGCAUUAUAGUGGCUUUUAAUCUUCUAAAUUAGAUAAACUGGACACCAUCACCGCAUUUUGGUGGGGAGCUGAUCACACAGAUCUGUGGCCUGCAAAGCUCACUUGAGAUUCCGCAUAAGAGUGAGUCAGAAAGAGAAAGACAAGUCUCUCUCUUCCUUCGUCUCCCUGUCUCUGUGACUCUGCCCUCCUUCACCCCGACGUUGAACAAGAGGAGUUGUGAGCACCUCCCACAGGCAGGCAACGCUGCCUCCCUCCUGGGGAUGCGAGGCUGAGCCCUUCCCCUGAGGAGCCGAGCGCAGUGGGACGGACAGAGCAAGCCUGUAAUCACCCUGCCCAGUAAGAGUGUCAAGACCGUGGGAGGCACACCGUACCCUGUCUGGCGGGGUCGGAGACCUUUUCCCGGGGCAUCUGAGCGGGAACUUGAAGAUGAACAAAGACUUUUCCACGUGGACUUGGUGGGGGAAGGACUCUGGAUGAAGCUGUAGGAGAGUCUGGCGUGGUCCGGGGAGGAGAGCAGCCCCUGUGUGCGGGGUGCUCCGUGAGUGCGGGAGUGCAGUGGGGCGGGGAGAUGGGCGAGGCUGGGGUAGGGCUCUGUGGGCCACACCAGCCCCAUCAUCUGGGGGGAGGGGGUUAAAUCAGAAAGCACGGGAUGACCUCUUUGCAAGCAUCUCCAUUGUGUGGAAAUCAGCUCAGUGGUGCUCAGUGUUUUCUUACAAAUGCAAGGGUCACAAAGGGGGAUGCUAAACCCACAGCCCCCAGGAGGGAGGACAGGUCUGCAGGGAGCUGUGGAUUUCCCUUCAAGCUGGGUGUUUGGAGGGAACAGAAAGCUGGCCGAGGACCUCUCCUCCCAGCCCAAGGCUGUGUCAACACACUCACCAAACACAGUGAAAACAUGACAAGCAGAGAACAGAGUGUCAACGUGCUAAUUGAAACCAAAACCCAGUAAGUCACGUUUUAUUUUUUCUCGGGUUUUUCUGUUUGGCUCUGGACAAUAGUUGAAUAAAGUGUAAUUUGCCUAAGUCCCCCUUCUCUCUGGGAGGCCCGUGCCCACCUUGGCCUCCCUGGGCUUCCUCCUUUGGUGGGAGAGAGGGGCCCGGGGAGCAGACAGAUUCAAGGCCCAGAGGUACCCACAGCAAGC